rnacentral:rRNA from 1 species
GACGAACGCUGGCGGCGUGCUUAACACAUGCAAGUCGAACGGAAAGGCCUUUUCGGAGGUACUCGAGUGGCGAACGGGUGAGUAACACGUGGGUGAUCUGCCCUGCACUCUGGGAUAAGCCUGGGAAACUGGGUCUAAUACCGGAUAGGACCGCACUUUAGUGUGUGGUGGAAAGUUUUUUCGGUGUAGGAUGAGCCCGCGGCCUAGCAGCUUGUUGGUGGGGUAAUGGCCUACCAAGGCGGCGACGGGUAGCCGGACUGAGAGGUUGGUCGGCCACAUUGGGACUUGGAUACGGCCCCGACCCCUACGGGAGGCAGCAGUGGGGAAUAUUGCACCAGGGGCGCGAGCCUGAUUCAGCGACGCCGCGUGGGGGAUUACGGCCUUCGGGCUGGAAACUCCUUUCGCCAUGGACGAAGCGUUUUGUGACGGUACCUGGAGAAGAAGCACCGGCUAACUACGUG